rnacentral:rRNA from 1 species
AGUCGAACGAGGCCUUCGGGUCUAGUGGCGCACGGGUGCGUAACGCGUGGGAAUCUGCCCUUGGGUACGGAAUAACUCACCGAAAGGUGUGCUAAUACCGUAUGAUGUCGCGAGACCAAAGAUUUAUCGCCUGAGGAUGAGCCCGCGUUGGAUUAGCUAGUUGGUGGGGUAAAGGCCCACCAAGGCGACGAUCCAUAACUGGUCUGAGAGGAUGAUCAGCCACACUGGGACUGAGACACGGCCCAGACUCCUACGGGAGGCAGCAGUGGGGAAUAUUGGACAAUGGGCGCAAGCCUGAUCCAGCAAUGCCGCGUGAGUGAUGAAGGCCUUAGGGUUGUAAAGCUCCUUUACCUGGGAAGAUAAUGACUGUACCGGGAGAAUAAGCCCCGGCUAACUCCGUGCCAGCAGCCGCGGUAAUACGGAGGGGGCUAGCGUUGUUCGGAAUUACUGGGCGUAAAGCGCACGUAGGCGGCUUUGUAAGUUAGAGGUGAAAGCCCGGGGCUCAACCCCGGAAUUGCCUUUAAGACUGCAUCGCUUGAACGUCGGAGAGGUGAGUGGAAUUCCGAGUGUAGAGGUGAAAUUCGUAGAUAUUCGGAAGAACACCAGUGGCGAAGGCGGCUCACUGG